UUCUUCUUCAGAGCUUCUGCUUGGGUAGUGUCCUUGGAUCCCUCAUUCAGACGGAAUGGUGCAAUCAUGUCAUCGAAUGUCUUCAAACUAAAGUGGCAAUCCACAAUGAAUUUACCUGGCAGAGGUUGGUCUGGCAUUCAUAUCAGGAAUGACAUGGAUGUCAUCACAUUUGAUCCUGAAUUUCUUGAGGAGUAACACCAUCCUAGAGAACAAAAGAUGUAUCAUUUCACUGGGGAUGUGUCCAGAUGGUCUGUGUUUGGUGACCACUUACUCGUCUUUGUCUUGCUGGAUUCGGCCAGGCAGACCAGCAAUGAAGAUUCUCAAAUUGCAGUCCUUGAAUUUCUUUCGGGUAGU